rnacentral:lncRNA from 1 species
GGUAGAUAAAUAUUAGUUGUGUCAGUAAAUGUGAUCUAUUUAUCAUUGCCACAGCACCUAUUUUCCUUACAUCCAUUUAAACAUACGAUAUUCAAAUUGUUUAGGGCAAGUAUCUAAUAGGCAGUCUUAUGCAUUGACACGUAAUAUUGAGGCGACUUAACAAACAACAUGUACAAUGUGUUGUCUUUCUAAGUUGUCUCAUAGUAAUUUUAUUUCCUUAAUUUGUGUAUAGAAAAAAAAUAUAUUAUGAGUUGUAUACAACCACAACUUGUACAAUGAUGAAGUAGUCAUCUCAUAGUCCUAAAAUCUAGCCUAUGAGGCUGUUGUUUCGUGAAACAACGACCUCUUUCUCUUUCCUCACCCUCCCUUCUCUAUAUUAGCAAAAAUUCUAUGUGGCAUUGCAUGAGACAACCUAUGAAACUGGUGAGAUGUAGCAAUGUACUUGCCGUUAAAGCAAACUGUUUGUUUCUUCAGUACCUUUCAUAACAAAGAAUAUUCACAUUGUGUCCAUCUUUUAUAAAAAACCGCAGGAGCAAUGUGAUGUCGUUUAAGUAGGAAGCAAAUCCAGAGCUACAUAGUCUUAUUAUUACAUAAAAACCUAAACUACUCGAGCUCAUAAUAUUACUUAAUAUUAAGUUAAAAUAUUGUUUCCUUCAGAAAUGAAUAAUUUAUCUAGCUAGUAAAGAACAGUUCAAUGUCAAUUUCCCUUCGAUGGAAAUUAGCACGAGGUGCCGCGAUUACCACAUGAUUGAAAUAGUUGAGCUUAUUAGAAUGUACAGCUAUGAGACCUUCGUCCAUCAAAGGGUAUAACAUCAUGCACUCUAAAAGACAAGAAGAACUACACACAAUUCUUCAAAAUUCUUCUAUCUCUCUUUAUUUUUGGACAAGAAAGAAUUUGUAUAUCUAAAAGUUAAAAUGGUGAUAUAGUGAUGAACUCAAGAGGAGAAUCAUGCGAUCCUUCUAUGUUACGUGACUCAACAGUAACAAAUAUUUCGAUACGAAGGUAGUACAUGAUUACGUGGAGUAUUAUACAUUGCAACCAUGGCGAGUCGUUCUGAACCCUAGCUAGCGUUGCGCCUUGAGCAUCCCCUUUGCCCUGGGCCUGGCCCUCUCGCCGGCCGGCAUCCACCAGCAGCACCGGCAGCAGCUUUGCCUCCACUGCCGACAGCGACCGAGCUAGGUCGCCGUCGUUUGCGAGUGCCUCACCACGUAAAGCUAGCGCGCCGGUGGCAAGCGAGGUCGGUCACCCAGUCGCUUGCUCGCUGCCAGCGUGCCCGACGCGGGAGAGGAACGUGGGUGGUAGCAACCGGCCGGCAGGCACGUACGUGCCGGGCUUAUUUGGGAGGAAGAGGACAGACAGCGAUAGAGCACGGGACCUGGCUUCCUGCCUGCUUCUUAUAUUCCUCCGAGUGAAGAGUGGAUCAAUCAGUGCAUGCAGGCAUGAGU